GCGUUAAGAAAGGAAGGAUGCCCAGCAGUUGUUUGUGCCAUCUAUCAGGAAGUGGCUAGGAAAAUGGGCAUUGUUUGUGAGGCGGUUUAUUGUGACCAGAUAAAGCUUCUUCUUAGAUGGAAGGAUUCAGCCGGGUCAGAGGACGAUACUAUUUAUAUUGACGUCUUUCGUGGAGGGUCUUUAAACCAGUCAAGUUUGUAUCCAUCCCUCA